CACCUCCUCCAGUGGCAGGAUGUGAUCCACCAGCAAGGAGGGACACCAAUAAGGCAUCGGAUAAGUCUUAUAAAAUAUAUAAAUUUAUGAGAAUGAAGACUGAGCCAACAGAUGAGAAUCCUAGUCAUUGGCCAAGCAGCAUUAUACCUAAUACAAGUCUCUCUGUGUAUUAAUUUGGGCCCUAACUCAGGCGGGCAUCUGGCAUAAAGCACACACGAGGUGGUGGGGCUCCCCAGCUUUGGUGGAAAGAUUUAUUGUAACAGCAUUAUGCACAGUAAUCAAAUUUUACACUUUAUUAUAUGGAUGGACAGAUAAAUACAUAGUCACCCAGACAUACUUCGCUGAUGACCAAAGGAAUCUCAGAUAUGAACAGUCAACAGUAUCUGCUACAAAACUGUGUAUGCAGGUGUGUAUAUG
rnacentral:lncRNA from 1 species